GCUCCCGUAGGAGUUCGGGCGAAGUCUACCUGCAAUUGAAGUUGGUGGCGAAGUCCGGCUCCCGUAGGAGUCCGGACGAGGUCUAGAAGGUGGUCUAUCAUUGUGGAAACUUGGGUGGAGUCCAUCCGUCAUGAAGAAUCCGGUCGAUGCUGGUGCGGGCUUAUCCGUCGGCAAAACUUGGGAGUGUUGCGGAGGCUCGAUCGCCAGAGAGGUUCGGAGAGAUGUCGCUG
rnacentral:lncRNA from 1 species